GUGGCUAUAGCUCAAUUGGUUAGAGCACUAGACUGUGGCUCUGGGGGUUGCCGGUUCGAUCCCGGUUAGCCACCCCA
rnacentral:tRNA from 1 species